UGCCAGCCGCCGCGGUAACACAGAGGGCGCAGACGUUGCUCGGAAUUACUGGGCGUAAAGCGCGUGUAGGCUGACCAGCAAGUCGGGCGUGAAAUCCCUGGGCUCAACCCAGGAACUGCGUUCGAAACUGUUGGUCUUGAGUAUCGGAGAGGGUAGCGGAAUUCCCGGUGUAGAGGUGAAAUUCGUAGAUAUCGGGAGGAACACCAGUGGCGAAGGCGGCUACCUGGACGAUUACUAACGCUGAGACGCGAAAGUGUGGGGAGCAAACAGGAUUAGAUA
rnacentral:rRNA from 1 species